rnacentral:rRNA from 1 species
UACGGAGGGUGCAAGCGUUGUUCGGAAUUAUUGGGCGUAAAGGGCAAGUAGGUGGUCUCGUAAGUCUACUGUGAAAUCCCCCGGGCUUAACUCGGGAAGUGCGGUGGAUACUGCGAGACUAGAGUAUCGGAGGGGGGGACUGGAAUUCUCGGUGUAGCAGUGAAAUGCGUAGAUAUCGAGAGGAACACCAGUGGCGAAGGCGAGUCCCUGGACAACACCUGACACUGAGGCACGAAAGCUAGGGGAGCAAACAGG